UUCAUACACUUAAAAAUAUAUUUAUAAUUUGCUGAGUAAAGAAACAAAAAAUAUGAAUCACGCAGCCUGAUCAGAGGGCAUAUGCGACUGUCUAUUGCAUAAUCGGGAAUGAGUGUGCGCAGUGUUUGAAUAAGAUUGGUCAUGUUAAAAUAUAUAUAUCAAUAGUAGUAUAUACCGUCAAUACAAUAGUUGAUGGGUUAUUGGGCAAUGGGAAAGUCAUGUAUCUGUUUUUAUAAAUAAUAAUAAAUAUUUGUAACCGUAAAUUAACAAUGUCUGUUAGAAAACGGUGACAAAAAAUUAGUGACAGAUAAUUUUGUUUUAAAUCAAUAGAGUAACGACGUUAAAUUAAAAUGUUUUAUAUUUACCUUCACGAGAAUCUAUACGACUAGUUUCAGCUCGCCGGGCGGUGGAUUUUUUAUCAGAAAAUAAUUUUCUGAUGUCUGAAUAUUUUGUUUUAAUGACAAUAACGUUUCUGUUGAUCUUUUUCUUGUUCCUAAUAAAUAUAAACAUUAUAAGUUUUUUAAAAUUUUAUGUAAUAAUCGAUAAAUUUAUUUUAUUUCUUCAAUAUUGCGGGUAAUUGUUAGAUAAAUAAUGUCCUUAGACACGCCACGGCGAUUUGUAGAUUAUAAAAUAACUAAUAAUUAUAAUUGUGAUAUUUACCUAGAGGAAUUUGCAGCAUAAGCCAUGAAAUAUUUCCCGUUAUUGUAAAUUGCAGUAAUUCAGUCUCGCUGUUGACAUUAAAUUUUAAUUCAUUUACGAACUCAUAUUUUCUAGUCAUUGACUCCUGAGAAAUUCAUCAAUUUGUUAGAUAAUAUUAUGCAUAAAUAAGUAAAUAAUAGAAUAGUAAUUACCAGUUUAGUUGGCAAAUCAGCAAAUGAAUUAUUGCAGUCGAUUUUUAUUGAGGUGUCGCAUGUUGAUUCUAAUGCGUUUUCAACGGUCGGUAUUGAUCUUUGAUC